UACGUAAGGUCCGAGCGUUGUCCGGAAUUAUUGGGUGUAAAGGGUACGUAGGCGGAGAAGUAAGUUAGAUGUGAAAUCCUAUAGCUCAACUAUAGUAAGCUUUUACAACUGCUCAUCUUGAGGUAUGGAAGGGAAAGUGGAAUUCCUAGUGUAGCGGUGAAAUGCGUAGAUAUGAGGAGGAAUUCCGAUUGCGAAGGCGGCUUUCUGGCGAUAAACUGACGCUGAGGUUCGAAAGCGUGGGUAUCGAACAGG
rnacentral:rRNA from 1 species